rnacentral:rRNA from 1 species
ACGAACGCUGGCGGCGUGCCUAAUACAUGCAAGUCGAACGGCUUUUCUAUGGAAGCUUGCUUCCACUGAGAAGAUAGUGGCGAACGGGUGAGUAACACGUGGGUAACCUGCCCAUAAGAGGGGGAUAACAUCCGGAAACGGGUGCUAAUACCGCAUAGUUUUCUUGAUCGCAUGAUUGAGAAAGGAAAGACGGCCUUUGUGCUGUCGCUUAUGGAUGGACCCGCGGCGUAUUAGUUAGUUGGUGAGGUAACGGCUCACCAAGACGAUGAUACGUAGCCGACCUGAGAGGGUGAUCGGCCACAUUGGGACUGAGACACGGCCCAAACUCCUACGGGAGGCAGCAGUAGGGAAUCUUCCGCAAUGGACGAAAGUCUGACGGAGCAACGCCGCGUGAGUGAAAGAAGGUUUUCGGAUCGUAAAACUCUGUUGUCAGAGAAGAACAAGUUGGAGAGUAACUGCUCCAGCCUUGACGGUAUCUGACCAGAAAGCCACGGCUAACUACGUGCCAGCCGCCGC